UACGUAGGGGCAAGCGUUGUCCGGAAUCAUUGGGCGUAAAGAAGCGUGUAGGCGGCUCGGUAAGUCCGCUGUGAAAGUCCAGGGCUCAACCCUGGAAUGCCGGUGGAAACUGUCGAGCUAGAGUCCGGAAGAGGCGAGUGGAAUUCCUGGUGUAGCGGUGAAAUGCGCAGAUAUCAGGAGGAACACCAAUGGCGAAGGCAGCUCGCUGGGACGGUACUGACGCUGAGACGCGAAAGCGUGGGGAGCAAACAGG
rnacentral:rRNA from 1 species